AGAGUUUGAUCCUGGCUCAGGAUGAACGCUGGCGGCGUGCCUAAUACAUGCAAGUCGAGCGAACGGACGAGAAGCUUGCUUCUCUGAUGUUAGCGGCGGACGGGUGAGUAACACGUGGAUAACCUACCUAUAAGACUGGGAUAACUUCGGGAAACCGGAGCUAAUACCGGAUAAUAUUUUGAACCGCAUGGUUCAAAAGUGAAAGACGGUCUUGCUGUCACUUAUAGAUGGAUCCGCGCUGCAUUAGCUAGUUGGUAAGGUAACGGCUUACCAAGGCAACGAUGCAUAGCCGACCUGAGAGGGUGAUCGGCCACACUGGAACUGAGACACGGUCCAGACUCCUACGGGAGGCAGCAGUAGGGAAUCUUCCGCAAUGGGCGAAAGCCUGACGGAGCAACGCCGCGUGAGUGAUGAAGGUCUUCGGAUCGUAAAACUCUGUUAUUAGGGAAGAACAUAUGUGUAAGUAACUGUGCACAUCUUGACGGUACCUAAUCAGAAAGCCACGGCUAACUACGUGCCAGCAGCCGCGGUAAUACGUAGGUGGCAAGCGUUAUCCGGAAUUAUUGGGCGUAAAGCGCGCGUAGGCGGUUUUUUAAGUCUGAUGUGAAAGCCCACGGCUCAACCGUGGAGGGUCAUUGGAAACUGGAAAACUUGAGUGCAGAAGAGGAAAGUGGAAUUCCAUGUGUAGCGGUGAAAUGCGCAGAGAUAUGGAGGAACACCAGUGGCGAAGGCGACUUUCUGGUCUGUAACUGACGCUGAUGUGCGAAAGCGUGGGGAUCAAACAGGAUUAGAUACCCUGGUAGUCCACGCCGUAAACGAUGA
rnacentral:rRNA from 1 species